rnacentral:rRNA from 1 species
UACGGAGGGUGCAAGCGUUAUCCGGAUUUACUGGGUUUAAAGGGUGCGCAGGCGGAUAUGUAAGUCAGUGGUGAAAUCUCUGGGCUUAACCCGGAAAUUGCCAUUGAUACUAUAUAUCUUGAAUGCUGUGGAGGUAAGCGGAAUAUGUCAUGUAGCGGUGAAAUGCUUAGAUAUGACAUAGAACACCUAUUGCGAAGGCAGCUUAACUACGCAGAUAUUGACGCUCAUGCAGAAGACGUGGGGAUCAAACAGG